CUAAGUUUGAUGGCGACCGGCGCACGGGUGAGUAACACGUAUCCAACCUGCCGAUGACUCGGGGAUAGCCUUUCGAAAGAAAGAUUAAUACCGGAUGGCAUACGAAUAUCGCAUGAUAUUUUUAUUAAAGAAUUUCGGUUAUCGAUGGGGAUGCGUUCCAUUAGUUUGUUGGCGGGGUAACGGCCCACCAAGACUACGAUGGAUAGGGGUUCUGAGAGGAAGGUCCCCCACAUUGGAACUGAGACACGGUCCAAACUCCUACGGGAGGCAGCAUG
rnacentral:rRNA from 1 species